rnacentral:rRNA from 1 species
ACCAGAACCUACGUCUGGGAGUGGCACACUGCUCAGUAACACGUAGCUAACCUACCCUUAGGACGUGGAUACCCCCGAGAAAUUGGGGUUAAUCCGCGAUAGAUGUAAUGUCCUGGAAUGGUAUUACGUCUAAAGGUAUUUCAUACAUGUUUGAAAUAUGCCUAAGGAUGGGGCUGCGGCCGAUCAGGCUGUUGGUGAGGUAAUGGCUCACCAAACCUUUGACCGGUACGGGCCAUGAGAGUGGUAGCCCGGAGAUGGACACUGAGACAAGGGUCCAGGCCCUAAGGGGCGCAGCAACCGCGAAACCUCCACAAUGCACUCACGUGCGAUGGGGCUAUCUCGAGUGCCACCUGAUGAAGGUGGCUUUUCCUUGGUCUAAAAAGCCUAGGGAAUAAGAGGGGGGCAAGACUGGUGUCAGCCGCCGCGGUAACACCAGCCCCUCGAAUGGUGGGGGAUGAUUAUUUGGCCUAAAGCGUCCGUAGCCGGCCGGGUAAGUUUCCCGUUAAAUCCAGCGUCUCAAGCGUUGGACUGCGGGAAAUACUGCCUGGCUAGAGAGUGGGAGAGGUCAGCGGUAUUCUGGGGGUAGGGGCGAAAUCCUUUGAUCCCCGGAGGACCACCAGUGGCGAAGGCUGCUGACUAGAACACGUCUGACGGUCAGGGACGAAAGCUGGGGUAGCGAACCGGAUUAGAUACCCGGGUAGUCCCAGCCGUAAACGAUGCAUGCUAGGUGUUGGGUUGGCCACGAGCCACCCCAGUGCCGCAGGGAAGCCGUUAAGCAUGCCGCCUGGGAAGUACGAUCGCAAGAUUGAAACUUAAAGGAAUUGGCGGGGGAGCACCACCAGGCGU